GCGGAUGUGGUGGAAUUGGUAGACACGCAGCCUUGAGGGGGCUGUGACUUAGGUCGUGAGAGUUCGAGUCUCUCCAUCCGCACCA
rnacentral:tRNA from 1 species